UUAAGACUAUCAGACGGUAAAGAAUCUGCCUGCAAUGCAGGAGACCUUGGUUCAAUCCCUGGGUCAGAAA
rnacentral:tRNA from 1 species